rnacentral:lncRNA from 1 species
CUCUGGCAAUCUUGCACCGGAGGAACAUUUUUCCUUGUCGCUAUUCACCUACCGAAUUCAUUUGGCAAAGAAGGUACAUUUCUGAAAGUGUCAUAUGUUGGUCUGAAGUUUUCUGACAGUAGACUAAGAAUACAAUAAACUGCAAGCAGCACAGUACGAUUUGUGUGGGAUUUUCAACCGUUUCUGAAAUGGGUGUGGCGCUCAUUCUGUCCUGCCUUGCAGCGAUGGCAUACAGCAGUCCUGUCCAGGUGCGUCAUUCGCCCCAGCAGCUCCUCGACCACCAGAUCCGGCUCCUCCAGCAGAAACAUGCCAGUGGAGGAUCUUGCAAAGAGAUUUCAGGGGCUGUGGCUCCACCAGCACAGACUGGUCAGACUGCACAGGUGCCUCGAUUACCGAAGUCCGUGUCCCCCGUGAACCAGGCCAGCCCAGCAGGCAGCCAGGUGCUCCUUCCCACACAACCCAACAACCAGGCAUGGCAACCAGGCAUACCUUUCAUGGUGCCUCUGCAGCCCAACUCUCAGACCCCCCAGCUGGCAUUCCAGGGCCCCGUUCCACCG